AUUGAACGCUGGCGGCAGGCCUAACACAUGCAAGUCGAGCGAGAGGCGGACGGGUGAGGAAAGUAUGGGGACUGCCCGAUAGAGGGGGAUAACUCCUGGAAACGGUAGCUACUACCCCAUACUAUCGCAUAACGCAUAUGGGAUUAGCUAUUAGGUGAGGUAAUGGCGCACCUAGGCGACGAUCCCUAGCUGGUAUGAGAGGAUGAUCAGCCAAACUGGGACUGAGACACGGCCCAGACUCCUACGGAGGCAGCAGUGGGGAAUAUUGCACAAUGGGCGCAAGCCUGAUGCAGCCAUGCCGCGUGUAUGAAGAAGGCCCUAGGGUUGUAAAGUACUUUCAGUCGGGAGGCGUUACCGACAGAAGAAGCACCGGCUAACUCCGUGCCAGCAGCCGCGGUAAUAC
rnacentral:rRNA from 1 species